CUGUCAGUGUGAAGAAAAAAAAGCCUUAAACAUAUGUUUGUUUCAGAUGUCAAUGGUCAUUUUGCCAACCCCUGCUCAGGAAGGAUGAAAAGCUCACAUGGAACAGAAGGGCAAAACUCACCUGAUCUUGAUUCUUCAGUACGAAUACAGACUGUGAAAGUGGGGCCCCAUAAUCCUUCUGGCUUUUUGGGUUUUAAGCAAGAGAUGUGAGAAAAAUUACCAUAGGGAUAACUCGUUUGUGGUGGCCAAGUGUUUGUAACGAUGUCACUUUUUGAUCCUUUGAUGCUGGCUCUUCCUAUCAUUGUGAAACAGCAUUCACCAAGUGUUGGACUGUUCAUCCACUAACAGGGAACGUGAGCUGGAGUUAGACUGUUGUGAGACAGCUAAGUUUUACCCUCUUGAUGAUGUAUUG
rfam:Apaloderma vittatum contig80267, whole genome shotgun sequence.